rnacentral:misc_RNA from 1 species
AAAUCGCGAUAUGUAGUGUGACUUGCCUAUAGUGAAUCAUCAAAUUUUUGAACGCAUCUUGCACCUCUGGGUAUUCCUGGAGGUACGCCUGUUUCAGUAUCAUUUUAUCUUCUCUUUUUAACCUUUAUUGGUUUUUAGGGGAAAAAUUACUAUUGGCCCUUGAGACUUUUUUUGGGACCUCGGUUCCAAAAAUUCUUCACGGCUUAAAUGUGCUCGGUCAGAUUGACUGGUAGUUACCUUUUGGUAGAUUUUUUUCUGCAUAAAAGUAGCCCCAACCUUUUAUUCUUGUCCAAACUCACUCAACUUGAUCUGAAAUCAGGCGGGAUUACCCGCUGAACUUAA